rnacentral:rRNA from 1 species
AGUGAACGCUGGCGGUAUGCCUAACACAUGCAAGUCGAACGGCAGCACAGUAAGAGCUUGCUCUUACGGGUGGCGAGUGGCGGACGGGUGAGGAAUACAUCGGAAUCUACUUUUUCGUGGGGGAUAACGUAGGGAAACUUACGCUAAUACCGCAUACUACCUACGGGUGAAAGCAGAGGAUCUUCGGACCUUGCGCGAUUGAAUGAGCCGAUGUCGGAUUAGCUAGUUGGCGGGGUAAAGGCCCACCAAGGCGACGAUCCGUAGCUGGUCUGAGAGGAUGAUCAGCCACACUGGAACUGAGACACGGUCCAGACUCCUACGGGAGGCAGCAGUGGGGAAUAUUGGACAAUGGGCGCAAGCCUGAUCCAGCCAUACCGCGUGGGUGAAGAAGGCCUUCGGGUUGUAAAGCCCUUUUGUUGGGAAAGAAAAGCAGCAGGUUAAUACCCCGCUGUUCUGACGGUACCCAAAGAAUAAGCACCGGCUAACUUCGUG